UACCUUGAUGGGCAGGUCAAAACAUUGAAUACACAAGAGUCUCGUUUCAUGUUGACUGGGUCCCGUCCUAUUGCGCAACUUAGUACAAUAACCAGUCCAGAAUUUUGAGACCAGUACAUGUAACUGGAUACAUAAUUAUUAAUCAGAGUGAUGUGACACCAGUUUAUCUUCAACGCUGACACUAUUGAUC